GGGUUAAAUAAAAAGAAACGGAUCACAUCUAAUGUGGAGAUAUCAGACGCCUUGUGAAACACUAAAGGAAAAAUUCAGUUUCGAGCUAUGGCACUUGCCGCAUAGAGGUGGAGGGCCUUGCAUCAAUAGUGAUAAUUACCGCUGCAUUUAGAAAUUGAAAGCGUUCAUGCAGACAAGGAUGAUUUUUUAUAUUUUUGGAUACCACUUCAAAUGCCCCCACCAAGUGUUACAAUGCUGCAUGCAGCCAUACUAAGGAUCUCACAGCAACACCUACAGGUAAAAAGCAAAAGCAGUUAAAGUGCUGGUGUAUUCUGGACACUAUGUUUGAAAACUUUUAGGCAAAAAGAGUGCAAGAAGCAGACAUAAUAAGUGCAUUUAUUUCCAUAAUUCCCCAUUUGAAUGACCUUUUCUUUUUGCUUAGACAAUGCCUACGCCUAGCCACAGCAGCUCCCUCAUGCAGACUCCACAAGCCAAGAGGCCAUGGAGGCAAAUGCAGGCAGCCAGCACACCUCGAACAGCCGCCUUGACUGCGGGUGUGUCACUCUAGUCGCCAAGGAAGCAUUUGAGGGAAAGCGACAUGCAAUGUGAAUAGCCAUUUCUCCAUGUAAACGAUACUCUUUCUCUCGGAUGACUCCUACGCCUCGCCACGCCAGCUCAUCUGUGCAGACUCCACCAACAAAGAUGCCGCGGAGGCACGUGCAGGUCAGAGGCAAGAAGCAGCGGCACUGGUGUUGACAUUCACCCAAUUUCUUUCUUUUUCUUACACUGAGGCAGCCAGCACACCUCGAACAGCCGCCUUGACUGGGAGUGUGUCAGCAGAUUCCUGUUGCACAUAUGCUCAUAAUAAACUUCAGUAAACUUGAA
rnacentral:lncRNA from 1 species